GAUGAACGCUAGCGACAGGCUUAACACAUGCAAGUCGAGGGGCAGCAUAGAAGUAGCAAUACUUUGGUGGCGACCGGCGCACGGGUGAGUAACGCGUAUGCGACCUACCUAUCAGAGGGGAAUAACCCGGCGAAAGUCGGACUAAUACCGCAUAAAACAGGGGCACCGCAUGGUGAUAUUUGUUAAAGAAAUUCGCUGAUAGAUGGGCAUGCGUUCCAUUAGGUAGUUGGUGAGGUAACGGCUCACCAAGCCGACGAUGGAUAGGGGAACUGAGAGGUUGGUCCCCCACACUGGUACUGAGACACGGACCAGACUCCUAGGGGAGGCAGCAGUGAGGAAUAUUGGUCAAUGGGCGGGAGCCUGAACCAGCCAAGUCGCGUGAAGGAAGAAGGAUCUAUGGUUCGUAAACUUCUUUUGCAGGGGAAUAAAGUUCAGGACGUGUCCUGUUUUGUAUGUACCCUGAGAAUAAGGAUCGGCUAACUCCGUGCCAGCAGCCGCGGUAACAC
rnacentral:rRNA from 1 species